GCGACCCCAGGAUGGGCGGG
rnacentral:rRNA from 3 species